UACGAAGGGUGCAAACGUUGCUCGGAAUUAUUGGGCGUAAAGCGCACGUAGGCGGCUUUGCAAGUCGGAUGUGAAAGCCCUCGGCUUAACCGAGGAAGUGCAUCCGAAACUGCAGAGCUUGAGUACUUAAGAGGAUCGCGGAAUUCCCGGUGUAGAGGUGAAAUUCGUAGAUAUCGGGAGGAACACCAGUGGCGAAGGCGGCGAUCUGGGAAGAUACUGACGCUGAGGUGCGAAAGCGUGGGGAGCAAACAGG
rnacentral:rRNA from 1 species